AAAAAGAAUACCUUAGUAGCACUGCACUAUAAUUUUUUUAAAACAAUAAUAAAACUAAAAGAAAAAGAAAUAGAAAAGAAAAAUCAAGAAGAAACAAAAAUAAAAUAUUUAAAAAUGAAAAUAUUUAGAAUUGAAAACAAAAAUAAAAACAAAAAACUAGACGUUGCACAAGCGCCCCCUUGUUGAAACUAUCAACAAUCCUCGACAACAGUGCCAAAAACUUAAUGACUUAUCGGCAAAUGUACCAAUAAUAUUGCAGUAAUAAAAAAGAUAGAAUCCACCAGGACUGCUAUUUAACAAGACAAUAUUGUGUAAUGCAUAGAAAAUACUAAAUUAGGGGGUUUUCGAGUUUUGAAUGCGAAAAUAAAAUAAAUUGUUCUAACAAAAUUACAAAAGCGGCCAGGUUGUGUAC
rnacentral:lncRNA from 1 species